GCAGAAGCUAACACAGAUCUUCUCUGGAGAAAGGUAUCCUCAUCCUAGGCUUCAGAUGAUUCCUGCAAAUAAUUCAUCAAGUACAUGACCUUCAGCUGGAGAGUGGAAGUCUUUUGGAGAUUAGUGCAGGGUGGAGAAACUUGUGGUGGAGAAUGUUGAUGUGUUAACACAAAUGAGGACCAGCUUUGACAAACCAGACCAGAUGGCUGCACUCUUUAAACGAUUAUCAUCUGUUGACAGUGUCUUGAAGAGGAUGACAAUAAUUGGUGUAAUUUUAUCCUUCCGAUCAUUGGCACAAGAAGCACUUAGAGAUGUCUUAUCCUACCACAUUCCUUUUCUUGUAAGUUCAAUUGAAGAUUUUAAGGAUCACAUUCCAAGGGAAACUGAUAUGAAGGUUGCAAUGAAUGUGUAUGAGUUAUCAUCAGCUGCUGGAUUACCUUGUGAGAUUGAUCCUGCAUUGGUCGUAGCUCUUUCUUCACAAAAAUCAGAAAACAUUAGUCCAGAAGAAGAAUAUAAAAUUGCCUGCCUUCUCAUGGUGUUUGUGGCAGUUUCUUUGCCUACACUGGCCAGUAAUGUGAUGUCUCAGUACAGCCCUGCUAUAGAAGGGCAUUGCAACAACAUACAUUGCUUGGCCAAAGCCAUCAACCAGAUUGCUGCAGCUUUGUUUACAAUUCACAAAGGAAGCAUUGAAGACCGUCUUAAAGAAUUUCUGG
rnacentral:sRNA from 1 species